AUUUGCCAUCUUCUGGAGUGAGCAACUGUUGCUACCCUCUUGGGCCCAUCCAAAAAGAAACAUCCAAGCUCCCGAGGGACAGAGAGAUGCACAUCACAAAAGCCAAGACAGAGAAUGCUGAUUCACUAUGCAGUGAAACAUGCCUAACGUGUCAACAGCUAAAUGCCCGGUGACAGUGUGGUUGUCUGGGCAACAGAAGAAGUCACCCACGCAAACACUUAAAGGACCAUACUUAUUUUACAAGAGGAACAGUUUUCAAUGGAAUGGAUAUUAAAACACACACCUGGAUCCCUUUACCACAGGUGCUUUGAGAGGCACCAUCAAGGACAGUGAGCUAACGCAGGAGAAUGGAGUCCCAGAAACCUAGGAGGAGAAGACAAAGUGUCAGCCUCUCGGCAUCUGCAGUGUUGCUAGGAAAAGAGCUCUGAUCCCAGGGGCUUACCCACUUCCACAGGUAGGAAGCGUCCCUGAGAGGACUGGAACAUUAGCAUAUCUCAGAUCCAUCUGCAAAACUUUUGCAAACACGGAACUCCCUCGUUCUAAUCUUAUCAGCAACUUCCAGAGCUGAACCUUGAUUAAUCUGGAUACAAAAAGGAUUGAAACGCCACAUAAUAAGCAUUAACAGGAGGGUGUUUCCUUUAUCAAUGAAGCUUGAUUUAUCCAUGAUGAUCUAGUGCAUUCUCCUCCCAAAAAUCAGGAUCAUCCUCUGCAUAUGAAGGAACAGACAAGCCCUCAGCUCUACCACUUUGGAGAGGGGGGGAUUGGACAGCAUGAGCCUUCAAUUGUAUCUCUUGGAUGACCAAGGAAGGCUGGAUUUCUGCACCUAAAAAAUGGAAGCACAAACUGUACAACAAAUACUCUCCAUUCAAGUUGAAGUUCUCAAAUAAGUUUUGAAAGGUUCACUCCAGCUACUCUGUUGACAAUGGAUUAUAGAAGACUGAACAUGGAAUCCAGGAGACCAGUCAGAAAACUUCUUCAGGAAUCCAGCACAGUCUUGGCCUGUUCUGGAGAAUGCUCCCCAUCAAAAAUAAUUGACUGGAGACAAGCCAAGUCAGGAUUCUCCCUGGGAUCAAUUUCUGAUGGCGCUUUCUUCAUAAACAGGGGGACCUUUUCAAAUUCCUCUUCCCACUGGUCCUCAUGAAAGCCGCCACGGUAAGGCUGGCUCUGGAACUUUUCCAGGAACAAGUCCGUGGCAUCGUCUGAGGUGGGGUCCUGCUCAGGUUACUCCAUAACUGAUGCCCUGCCCUCCAGCCCAGGUCCCGGCACCGUGAAGUGUAGAAAAUACUCUACAAUGAAUAAAAAUAAAAUACAAUAUUCAAGAUUUAUGAAUGCAAUAAAAGCAGUGGUCAGAAGGAACAUUUAAGCUCUAAACACAUUAAAAAAGAAGAAUGAUAUUAAUAGAAAAUCUAAUUGUGUAUCUUACAUAACUAGAAAAUGAAAAGCAGUCUAAAGCCAAAGCAUGAAGGAGGUAGGAAAUAAUGAUUAGAGGAAACAUAAAUGACAUAGAGAAUAGAAAAACAAGAGAGAGUAUCAAUGAACCUAAAAUUUGGUUCUUUAAAAAGAUUACCAGAUUUGACAAACCUUUAGCUAUACUAAUAAUAGAAGACUAAAAUAAAUAAAAUUAAAAAUGAAAUCAUAGACAUUAUAACUGAUACCAUAGAAAUACAAAGGAUCAAAAGAAACUACUAAUGAACAAUUAUAUGCCAACAAAUUGGAUUACCUACAGGAAAUUGAUGAAUUCCUACAACAUACAACCUACCAACGCUGAAUCAUGAAGAAAUAGAAAAUCUAAACAGACCAAUAGUGAGUAAAGAGAUUGAGUCUGUAAUCAAAAAUCUUACAAAAAAGAAAAGCUCAGUAUCAGACAGCUUCACUGAUGAGUUCUAUCAGUCCUUUAAUGAAAAUUUAUACCAAUCAUUGCCAAACUCUUUCAUAAAAUUGAAGAGAUGAGAAUAGUUCAUAAUUCAUUGUAUGAGGCUGGCAUUACGUAGAUACAAAGCCAGACAAAGACAUUACAAGAUUGUCUCUUUUAAGUAUAGAUGCAAAGCCUCUUGAUAAAAUCCUAUCAAACUGAAUACAGCAGCAUAUUAAAGGGAUCAUACUCCAUGACAAAUGGGAUUUAUCUCAGUAAUGCAAGAAUGGUUCAACGUAUGAAAAUCACUCAAUGUAAGAAACCACAUGAAUAGAAUGAAGGGAGAAAAAAGACCCCAAAAUAUACGAACAUUUCAGUUGAUGCAGAGGAAUCAUUUGAUAAAGUUCAACAUUCUUUUAAAACACUCAGUAAAUGAAGAAUAAAAGAUAUCUUCCAUAACACGAUAAAGGUGAUAUAUGAAAAACCCACAGCUAACAUCACACCCAAUAUUGAAAGACUCAAAGCUUUCCCUUAACAAUGGGAACGAGAGCAGGAUUCCUACUGUCGCUAUUUUUACUCAAUAUAGUAGUAGAAAUUCUAGCCAGAGCAAUUAGAGAAGUCAAAUAAAUGAAAAUCUUACAAAUUGAAAAGAGAGAAGUUCUCCAUUCACAGAUGACCUGGUCUUAUGUGUAGAAAGCUCUAAGGAUUUAAUAACAAAACUAUUAGAGCUAAUAAAUGAAUUAAGCAAAGUUGUAGGACAAAAAAACAAUAAACAAAAUCAGUUGUGUUUCUAUACACUAGAAAUAAGCAAUAGGACAAGUUUUUUAAAACUUUCUUUUUAUAGUAGCAUCUGAAAGAACAGAUAUGUAGGAAUUUAAUCGGAAAUUAAAGACGUACUGAAAACUACAAAACAUUGCUGAAAUAAAGAAGUCAUAAAUCAAUGGAAUGUGUUCAUGGUGUAAGAUUUAAUAUUGUUAAGGUGAUAAUGCUACUCGAUUUGCUUUGCUAAUCAAAGCAAUCUACAGAUUGAAUCCAACAAUUUUUUUUUUCUUGUGGAAAUAGAAAACCCAUUCUAAAGUUCAUAUGAAAUCUUAAGGGACCUUGCAUAGCCAAAACAAUCUUGAAAAGAAUAAAUGUGGACAACUCACAUUUCCUGAUUUCAAAACUUAUCACAAAGAUACAGUAAUCAAAACAGUGAGGUACUUGUAUAAAGACAGACAUACAGACCAAUAGAUUUGAAUAGAUAUUCCAGAAGUAAACUCUCACAUACACAGACAAUUGAUUUUUGACAAGGGCACAAAAGCCAUUCAAUGGGGAAAAGGACAAUCUUUUCAACAAAUGGUGCUGGGAAAACUGUGUAUCCACAUGUAAAAAAAUGAAGUCAAACCUUUUCCUCAAAUUAUAUACAGAAAUUCACCAAAAAUGAAUAAAAUACUUAAAUAUAAGAACUAAAACUAUAAAACUCUUAGAGGAAAACAUACAACUAAAUCUUCAUGAUAUUAAUUUCUUAGAUAUGACACCAAAAGGAUGAGGAAUAACAAAAAUAGAUAAACUGAAGGGUAGAAAGCAAAGUGAUAAUGGAAGAUGAGAGUCGAGUGAUGUGACCAGGAGCCAAGGAAUGCCAUGGCCUCUAGAUGUGGGGAGUUAAGGGACCAAUUUUCCCUGGAAACUCCUGAAGGAACUUGCCAUGCCAACACCUUGAUUAUAGCCCUUUAAGAUACAUUUUGGACUGUUGAUCUCCAGGAUUGUAAGAUAAUACAUUCGUGUUGAUUUAAGCCACUGAAUAUGUGGUGAUUUGUUACAGCAGCAAUAGUAAACUGAUACACAAUCUCAAUGAAAGUAGGGAUUUCUGUCUUCCCACACCCUGCUCACUUCACUAGAGAAUUUAUAGCACUUAGUGUAUUCUUCGAUAAAUAUUUGUUGAGUAAGAUGAAUGAAGCCAGACUUUAGAGUCAGAUUACACUUGGCUGGUUAACUGUUGUGAGGAAAGCAGUUGAAAGUUCUCUUGGCCUUGCUUCUACUUGCACUGGGAAGCACUGUCAUCAAUGAAGGGGUUGCUGUGGGUUUCAAGAGAAAAGAAAAGGUGUGAGAAUCUCCCAGGUACAGUGGGAGCUCAUCUGGACUAGGGAAAUAAAAUAGGAUUGCUUGGUUAUUGCUCACUUGGUCACUAAUAUAACAUGAAUUGAGACAGUAUGGUUGUAUAUUUUUCUCCAAUUAAGGUUAUGGGGUGGCAUGGCCUAGGGGAAGUUACUUAUUUUGCAAGGGUGAUUUGAUAGAGGCAGCAAGCCAGGUAGCUGGGAUGUUUGCAAGGGCAUGAUCAUAAUGGUGUACCAUGCAAUUUAAGCAGGGGCAGGUGGAAAUAAGGACUUGAUGUGAUAUGUUCAGAUCCAUGAAUAAGACAUCAUAACAGGAGUCACAGUAUUGUCAGACUAGAAGUACUGGAGGAAGGGAGCUGGACAUUUGAAAGAGAUGGGAGGGUGGAAUGUUUGAGAUUGAGUGAAUGGAGGUGCUGUGUUCAUUUGGUCAUGCUAAGGUCUUGGGGUGGCCAUGGGAGGGGUGGGUGGCUGAGGUGGGGCAGAGGACAGACUCAUCUGGAGAUGAUGCAAUAAAUGAAGGGGAAAGCUAGGCCCUGCAAGGAGCUCUCUUGUGUGUAUUAAAAUCAUCAAAAACUGUGGCAGGAGUGAUUGCAGAGAUCCUAGUGACCCAUGAUCAAGGAAUGAAGAGGAAGACCAGCGGUCUAGAGAUUACUGCACAUGUGGGGUGGGAAGAGGGCGGUAACAGAUGACAAUCAUUAAUUUGAUAAAAAAGUAUUGAAUGUCUGCUCUGUGCCAGGCACAUGGUGGUAGGGUCUGAUGGGAGGUUAAAGGGAAGAGAGGUGGAUAAUGUUCUGGAGAUUUCAAUGAGCAAGAAGGGUAUUUAGCCCACAUUGAGGCCCAACAGAUUGAAGCCUUAAAAGAAAACAGCAACACCUGAGAAGGAUGCCAGGAAAUGAGUCCUAGGGGUACAUGUGGAGUCAGCUGGAGCACAUCCAGGAAGAAGGACAGAAGAAAGACUGUGAAGGACUUGAGUCAGGGAGGGGUGUGAGCUGACUCAGAAAGGGUGAUGCAUGGGUAGGCCAUGGGGUGAGGGAUGAACGGGAGUCUUGGAUUUCCUGUGGUCACUCAGGGAAACCCAGCAGCUAAAAGUAAGUGAUUUAAGCAAAUGAAUGGACAGAUGAAUUAAUGAAUAGACUAAAGAUGGACAAAUGCUUCCACCAGCCUUGCUUCAGGCCCUAUUUAGAACUGAAGUUGACUUCCUCUUUCUUUUAAUAGCUGCAAAAAUGAUGAAUUUGAUUUUCGUCUCUAGAAGCAAUUUCCUUUUUAAAUCAGGUGAGGAUCUUGGCAGAUGCGAAGAAUCUUUCAGAACCUGCAUGUAUAUGAGAAAGGGAUAUGACAGCAUGAAGUUCUCCUGUUUGAAGAAGCUAAAUGGAGCCACUUUUUGACUCAGUUGACUGGGACCUGGAGCUGGUGCACUAUUUGAAUUGCAUGGUGUGCCUGCCGCUGCCUUUUGACUUCUCCAGCCUGUACACCUGCCUUUUUGGGGAGAACUGUGGUAACAUAUGGGGAGGCGUCCUGUAUUUUCUGCAAUAUCUGACAAAGAAAAACUAGUUGGUUCAUAUGUAUAUAUGAUCUUUCAACAAGAACGUCAAAUAAAUAUCUUCACUCCUUGGGGAGAAGCAGGUCAGAGCCCCACUGUCUCAGCUAGCUCUCACUUGGCUGUCUUGUUUUGGGGCUGGAAGGCCACACUGUGUUUCCUGGGGUAGAGGCGGAGUCUGGGCAUUCUCCCUUUGUAGCUGAGAGCUAAGAGCAGUUGUGUCUGCUUUGAUAAAAUAAAGUUAUUUUUUAGUUUAGUCUGAUCUCCAAAUCCUUCCCUUUCAGAUACCUCUGCCAUCCAAGAUCAGGGGAUACUAAAUUUUCAAAGCAUUUUCUCAGGAGUUGCAUGAGAAAACAUACACCUGCUCUUGUUUUCAAGGGGUGUGGGCAAGAAGUAAAAAGGACAAACUGUUAAUGAGAACACUUUCUGUAUUCCUCCCUCCCCACUGAUACAUACCAGUACCAUAAAAUUUAAAAUGAGUCAAAUGACUGCAGUAAGACUUUACUUUGGUAUACGAGGCAAAAUGUUGGACAUGGGUGCUAAUUAAUCAUCAGAGAGUUACAGGGGAACCUGGACGAAUUAAGACUGGGGCAAGAGACAGCUCAUCAAGGAUCUUGCCCUGUAGCUCAAGAAGAAAAUGUUUAACUUAGUUGCCUGGACACUCUGAGGAUAGAAUGAAAUGCUGUAUGCGACCUGUUGGCCUUGGAAGCCGGCAUGGAUUCAGCACCCAGGGUUGGGGUGAACCUUCUCUCCCUCACUGUGUCAGGCAUCUUAGUCUGCCCCAGGAUGUGCAGGCUGCCUGUCCCUGGCCUCACAUCCUGCUGUAAGUGGGAUUGUGACCCCCUGAAAUGCAUAUGUUGAAGCCCUAACUGCCUCUGUGAUGGUAUUUGGAGGUGAAGCCUUUGGGAGAUAAUUAGGGUUAGAUGAAGUCCUAAGGACCUCCAUGAUGGGAUUAGUGUCCUUACAAGAAGAGGAAGAGACACCAGAGCUUCCCCUCUCUCACCUGUGAGGACAGAGGUAGCAGGUGGCUGUG
rnacentral:lncRNA from 10 species